UGCAAGUCGAACGGUAACAGGUUAAGCUGACGAGUGGCGAACGGGUGAGUAAUGUAUCGGAACGUGCCCAGUCGUGGGGGAUAACUGCUCGAAAGAGCAGCUAAUACCGCAUACGACCUGAGGGUGAAAGCGGGGGAUCGCAAGACCUCGCGCGAUUGGAGCGGCCGAUAUCAGAUUAGGUAGUUGGUGAGGUAAAGGCUCACCAAGCCGACGAUCUGUAGCUGGUCUGAGAGGACGACCAGCCACACUGGGACUGAGACACGGCCCAGACUCCUACGGGAGGCAGCAGUGGGGAAUUUUGGACAAUGGGCGCAAGCCUGAUCCAGCCAUGCCGCGUGCGGGAAGAAGGCCUUCGGGUUGUAAACCGCUUUUGUCAGGGAAGAAAAGGUUCUGGCUAAUACCUGGGACUCAUGACGGUACCUGAAGAAUAAGCACCGGCUAACUACGUGCCAGCAGCCGCGGUAAUACGUAGGGUGCAAGCGUUAAUCGGAAUUACUGGGCGUAAAGCGUGCGCAGGCGGUUAUGCAGGACAGAGGUGAAAUCCCCGGGCUCAACCUGGGAACUGCCUUUGUGACUGUAUGGCUAGAGUACGGUAGAGGGGGAUGGAAUUCCGCGUGUAGCAGUGAAAUGCGUAGAUAUGCGGAGGAACACCGAUGGCGAAGGCAAUCCCCUGGACCUGUACUGACGCUCAUGCACGAAAGCGUGG
rnacentral:rRNA from 1 species